rnacentral:lncRNA from 1 species
AGGGGACACCCGACACCAUGAUGAAGCAGGUGAUCACCGCUGGAAUGCUUUUCUGUCUAAUUAUUUCAACAGAAGGCAAAUGCGGGAAGGUGAAUCUGACAAAA